GAGGCUACUUAAGAGCAGUGCAGGGACAGAGAGUUCAAUUAAAUUCAGUUCAGUUUGGUGCAGUCAGUUGAGUAUCAUUGUGUGCAGUUCAGUUCAGAGGAGGCAGUUGAAUUCAUUACUGCUCAGCUUGAAGAGGAGUUUGAGCCAGAACAGCUGAGUUGAACCAGCCAGCCAGAGUUCAGAAAGAAGUAGAAAGACUGAGUUUAUUUAGCAGUAAGUUUCAGAGGCUGAAACAUUCUAGGCAGAUGGAGGCUGGAAGCUGAAGCCUUCAAGGUCCAGACUUGCAGAAGAUCAGGAUGGAAACACUCUGGGCUCAUCUCAUCUCUUCAUCUGCUUCAGAUCUCCUGGUGUUCUGCAGACAUUUCCCUCUUGAAUCUAAACUGGAUCCUGAGUAAGCUUUUCUCAACAGCUUUUCCAUGGGAUCCUGACACGGUUUUAAAGGAGAAGUCUCAACAAGGACUUAGGAAAGUCAGAUAACAUCCACUGAGACAAGCGUGCUAAGCACUUUAGAGGCCAGGCGUCCUUCCGCCC
rnacentral:lncRNA from 1 species